AAGACCGGAGAUGCUCCGACUAGCCAAGGAGAUUGCCUAGAGCCGACCGUUUCAACCGUAUGAUGAGUUUUUGUACAUCAACUAGCUGAUGCACGGACAAAUCUGAGUUCAGAGUAGGCAAGUCAUCCUUGGCUAUCAAAACAAGGCUCUCAUCC
rfam:Eucalyptus grandis cultivar BRASTZ1 unplaced genomic scaffold scaffold_9, whole genome shotgun sequence.